GACGAACGCUGGCGGCGUGCCUAAUACAUGCAAGUAGAACGCUGAAGAGAGGAGCUUGCUCUUCUUGGAUGAGUUGCGAACGGGUGAGUAACGCGUAGGUAACCUGCCUUGUAGCGGGGGAUAACUAUUGGAAACGAUAGCUAAUACCGCAUAACAAUGGAUGACACAUGUCAUUUAUUUGAAAGGGGCAAUUGCUCCACUACAAGAUGGACCUGCGUUGUAUUAGCUAGUAGGUGAGGUAAUGGCUCACCUAGGCGACGAUACAUAGCCGACCUGAGAGGGUGAUCGGCCACACUGGGACUGAGACACGGCCCAGACUCCUACGGGAGGCAGCAGUAGGGAAUCUUCGGCCAUGGGGGCAACCCUGACCGAGCAACGCCGCGUGAGUGAAGAAGGUUUUCGGAUCGUAAAGCUCUGUUGUAAGUCAAGAACGGGUGUGAGAGUGGAAAGUUCACACUGUGACGGUAGCUUACCAGAAAGGGACGGCUAACUACGUG
rnacentral:rRNA from 1 species